UUUGAAAGAAAAAAAUCUGACACUUGAUCAACUCAAUGACCCUGACUGGCUGGCAGACCUUGCUUUUUUAGUUGAUUUGACCAGUCACCUGAACGCACUGAAUAAAAGCCUGCAAGGCAAGGACCAGCUAAUAUCGGAAAUGUAUGCGCACUUGAAAUCUUUUUCUGUGAAGCUACAGUAAGACUUUUUGAGAGACAAAUCAGUGACCGCAAUGCUGUGCAUUUUCCUAGUUUGUCUGAAAUCAUCUCGAGUUUUUCAGAUCCAACAUCCCUGAGAAAAUGGAAAAAAAUUCGACAGUGCUCACAUCCCUAAUCACAGGAUUUAAUCAGCAUUUUCAAGACUUGUCCGCUAUUGAUAACGACAUCAAACUGUUCUCAACCCCUUUCUCUGUUAAUGUAGAAGAAGUACAAGAGAAUGUGCAGCUGGAACUCAUAGAACUUCAGUGCGAUGAUUCUCUUCGCAGCCGCCACCAGAUUCUUCCCCUGUCCGAGUUUGACAAGAGUUUGGAAACCUCCAGAUUGUGUCACACACAAAGGAUGAUGAGUCUGUUUGGCUCCACAUACAUAUGUGAGCAAACAUUUUCAUUGAUGACGCUGAACAAGAGUCCACUGUGAGCCAGUCUGACUGAUGACUGUCUGACUGUCUCUCUGUGAUCUGCUUCAUAUCUCUACUACAUGACUUACUCCAGACUUGACAACAAUUCUGAAAUCCAAGGCACAACAUCACUGUUUACAUUAAUAAGUUAAUGGCACACCGGACCCAACCCCUCACCAGCGCCCUCACUCUCCCGAGUAUUGAUUCAGAUCACCUGCACCUCGUCAGUUAAUUACCUCCACUCACCUAUUUAAGAGCACUCUCUUCACUUCAUCCCUGUCUGGUCUUGUUUAGAUAUUGACUCCAUAUCACGCUGAUGUUGGGCAGCCUUUGUGCUAUAGCUUCCACUAUUUCCCGCGUUGCCUCGAAUACUACCGCCUCCUUUUCUUUCUCCUCCACGAUCGCCUCUCUUCCCUACUCUACUCUCCUCCGUGCACGGCAUCAUCUCCCUCCAGCUCCGGUUCUCAGUCUCCGCAGACAAGCUGAGUAUUCUCCUCUCUCCCUUUUUCCACCUGCAUUUUGUUGUUAAUAAACAUACCCCUUCCGGGGUUUAACUACUCCAUUGCCUGUUCUCUUCUCUGGUGUUAUCAAAUAGAUAGAUAUUCCUUACAGCCAUGCGGCCCAAGACAGCUUUUUGCACCUGGCCCCCCGUGGAAAAAAGUUUGGAGACCCUUGACUCUUUUCAGUUUUUGAAAUAAACUCUUUUCAAGAUGAUCAUUAGCCAACUUCUUUUAUUCAAAUCUCAAACAUUGGUUUUGGUUGUAUGAAAACUAUGUGCAAAGUCUUCAUGGUUUAGAGCCACCAUACAAGCAAAAAAUCACAUCUGAUAAGCUAAUUGGUCUCCCAAGAAACAGUACUUUAUGGCUUUAUUUUAAUUGUAAUCUUGCUGCUAUCAUUAUUUCACUAAAGUGGCCAUAAGAAAAGAACUGGAUUAUACUGUAUAUUAAUGUUUAUUUUGGGUUUAACAGGUAUAGUUUAAUGACCAUGGCCUCAUAACCUUACUGUUUUAUAUCACUGAAAUUCCAUAGGGUGGACCCAGGUUUCAACAGGCUAUGAUGAUCAGAUAGUCACAUUACGACUGAUACCACUGGAGGACACAGACAAACUGGAAGGAGAGAAGAACACUGAGGGGCAAGUACUGCAGAUGGCCACAACCUCAGAGCAAGCGAGACAGGCAAAUCUGUGCAGGAGCAAGUAGCUCAGGUGGAGCAGGCAGGCAUCUUGGAGGAGAUGGAGCAGGCUCCGUGUCCUCCAGGUUAGACUUUGGAGGAGAUGGAGUCGGCAAGCACCCUGGAUGUGCAAGAGGCAUCGAGGGAUAUGCCAGAGAAGAAAACGGCACAAAAGAAUUGCUCCUACCACACUCGCCUAGAGGCUUUCCCUAACAGGAGACAAUUAAAAGAAAGAGUGAGGAAGUAGGAGGGAAAAGAAGUUUUGGUUGAGUGGGAGCCCUGUCCAGAAUGUGGUAAGAAGUGGGCUUAUUCCUGGCAGCCAAAGGAAUCAAUUUUAAAUCCUAGUUAAAAAUCAUAUGUAGACUUCAAAAAGUACAGCUUUUCAGAAGCACUUCAGCAAUGUGACACUUUUAUUUUUUUUUUACCACAUUUUAACAUGUAGUGUUGAUGUUUAA